rfam:Eubacterium cylindroides T2-87 draft genome.
AUAUAGGCUGGGAAGAGAAAUAGUAAGAUAGUUAUUUUUUUAAAGAGAGUUCUUGGCUGGUGAAAAAGAAUAAAGAAGACUAUCAGAACACAUCUUGGAGCUGUAUGGGUGAAUUGAGUAAUCCAUAUCGGUCGUCACCGUUAAAAGACAAGAGUAUGUUAGUACUUGAUGAGGCAGAUACCGUGAGGUAUUUGUGAAAAAAGGUGGAACCACGUAAGUUAAACUUUCGUCCUUAGG